GACUCUCGGCAACGGAUAUCUCGGCUCUCGCAUCGAUGAAGAACGUAGCGAAAUGCGAUACUUGGUGUGAAUUGCAGAAUCCCGUGAACCAUCGAGUCUUUGAACGCAAGUUGCGCCCGAAGCCGUCAGGCCGAGGGCACGUCUGCCUGGGCGUCAC
rnacentral:rRNA from 1 species